rnacentral:rRNA from 1 species
GUCAACAUCCUUAACGAAUGUAAUCACGUUCUAACCUGUUGAACGUUAUCUUAGAUAACCGUAAGCACGCUUUCGGCACCUGAGCAACUUUCAGAGGCCAGACGGAUGGCCCAAAGGGUAUUCGUUGCAAUCCUCAGUCUCAAUCACCACAUCUACCAGAGGCUAUAACACUUCAACCGAAAUCGAAGCUACAUUCCGCCGGUCAUUUUAUGAUAAUCGAAACUGACGUUGGCCUACCAUACGAAAAAGUACACCCAAAACGCACAAACAUGCAAACAGCGAGGCCGAAACUCACGCACGCCCUCAAGUUCGCACACGAUAAGUUGAUUUCUCGUCGGUACGACUGACUUCAAUCGUUUCCCUUUUAA